AUUGAACGCUGGCGGCAUGCUUUACACAUGCAAGUCGAACGGUAACAGGCCGCAAGGUGCUGACGAGUGGCGAACGGGUGAGUAAUGCAUCGGAACGUGCCCAGUCGUGGGGGAUAACUAUCCGAAAGGAUAGCUAAUACCGCAUACGAUCUGCGGAUGAAAGCGGGGGACCUUCGGGCCUCGCGCGAUUGGAGCGGCCGAUGUCAGAUUAGGUAGUUGGGGGGGUAAAGGCUCACCAAGCCAACGAUCUGUAGCUGGUCUGAGAGGACGACCAGCCACACUGGGACUGAGACACGGCCCAGACUCCUACGGGAGGCAGCAGUGGGGAAUUUUGGACAAUGGGCGCAAGCCUGAUCCAGCAAUGCCGCGUGCAGGAAGAAGGCCUUCGGGUUGUAAACUGCUUUUGUACGGAACGAAACGGCUCUGGUUAAUACCUGGGGCUAACGACGGUACCGUAAGAAUAAGCACCGGCUAACUACGUGCCAGCCGCCGCAGUAA
rnacentral:rRNA from 1 species